rnacentral:lncRNA from 1 species
AGUUUUCAGCUGGUAUGUUUCAUUAAAAUUUACCUGUACAGGUAACUCAGGUUUCUUUUAAAUUGACAUUUCACCUUUUUUGAAAAUGUAGAAUAAAAUAUUGUUUUAGUCUGUUUAAUUUAUUAUUUGUUUUUUUGUUUUAAUGUUAUUUAAAAAUUUUAUUUUUGUUGUUUCUUUUCAUUUUUGUAUGGGUUUUUUUCAUUACUUUUUUGUUUCUUAUUCUUUUAAUUUCUUCUUGGUAAGAAUCUUGAGUGCAAUUUUUUUCAUUCCUCAAGAAGGUGCAAAAA